GGUCAAGUUAUUAAGGGUGCAGGGCGGAUGCCUUGGCACUAGGAGCCGAUGAAGGACGUGAUAAGCUGCGAUAAGCUUCGGGGAGUUGCACGUAAACUUUGAUCCGAAGAUUUCCGAAUGAGGAAACUCACUUAGAGUAAUGUCUAAGUAUCAUUAAGUGAAUACAUAGCUUAAUGAGGGGAACUCAGGGAACUGAAACAUCUAAGUACCUGAAGGAAGAGAAAGAAAUUCGAUUCCGUAAGUAGCGGCGAGCGAACGCGGAUUAGCCCAAACCAAUAAAGUUUUCUUUAUUGGGGUUGCGGACAUAUCAUAACGAAGAGGUAUCGUAAUUGAAGAGGUUUGGAAAGACCCACCACAGAAGGUAAUAGUCCUGUAUGUUAAACGAGAAGACUUCAGAUAUGAUCCAGAGUACCACGGGACACGUGAAACCCUGUGGGAAGCAGGAGGGACCACCCUCCAAGGCUAAAUACUACCUAGUGACCGAUAGCGUAUAGUACCGUGAGGGAAAGGUGAAAAGAACCCCGGGAGGGGAGUGAAAUAGAACCUGAAACCCUGCACUUACAAGCUGUGGAAGCACAUUUCUUGUGUGACCGCGUACUUUUUGUAGAACGGGCCAACGAGUUACGUUAAGUAGCAAGGUUAAGCACUUAAGGUGUGGAGCCGUAGCGAAAGCGAGUUUUAACUGAGCGUUCAGUUACUUGACGUAGACCCGAAACCGGGCGACCUACCCAUGAGCAGGAUGAAGCGAAAGUAAAAUUUCGUGGAGGUCCGAACCCACGAGCGUUGAAAAGCUCGGGGAUGACUUGUGGGUAGCGGUGAAAUUCCAAUCGAGCCCGGAGAUAGCUGGUUCUCCCCGAAAUAGCUUUAGGGCUAGCCUCAAGGUGAGAGAUACGGAGGUAGAGCACUGAAUGUCCUAGGGGGUAUUGCACCUACCGAAGACUAUCAAACUCCGAAUGCCGUCAUCUUAUACUUGGGAGUCAGACUGUGGGUGAUAAGAUUCAUAGUCGAAAGGGCAACAGCCCAGAUCGUCAGCUAAGGUCCCUAAAUGUAAGUUAAGUGGUAAAGGAUGUGGGAUUGCACAGACAACCAGGAUGUUGGCUUAGAAGCAGCCACUCAUUCAAAGAGUGCGUAAUAGCUCACUGGUCGAGUGAUCCUGCGCCGAAGAUUUCCGGGGCUAAAACUUACUACCGAAGCUACGGCAUCAGUAAUGAUGGGUAGGGGAGCUUCCCAUACGGGUUGAAGCAUGACCGUAAGGACAUGUGGACAGUAUGGGAGUGAGAAUGUUGGCAUGAGUAGCGAGAUGUGGGUGAGAAUCCCACAGGCCGUAAACCCAAGGUUUCCAGGGGAAGGUUCGUCCGCCCUGGGUUAGUCGGGACCUAAGCUGAGGCCGAAAGGCGUAGGUGAUGGACAACAGGUUGAUAUUCCUGUACUACCGAUAACCGUUUGAGAGAAGGGAUGACACAGUAGGAUAAGCUAAGCACACUGUUGGUUAUGUGUGCCCAAGCAUUGAGGCAGUCAAAGUAGGCAAAUCCGCUUUGAUAAUGCUGGGAUGUGAUGGGGAGCGAAAUUUAGUAGCGAAGUAGCUGAUUUCACACUGUCAAGAAAAGUCUCUAUCGAGGUUAAAGGUACCCGUACCGCAAACCGACACAGGUGGGUGAGGAGAGUAUCCUAAGGCCAGCGAGAGAACUGUUGUUAAGGAACUCGGCAAAAUGACCCCGUAACUUAGGGAUAAGGGGUGCCACCAUCAGGUGGCCGCAGAGAAUAGGCCCAAGCGACUGUUUACCAAAAACAUAGGUUUCUGCUAAGUCGCAAGACGAUGUAUAGGAGCUGACGCCUGCCCGGUGCUGGAAGGUUAAGGGGAUCUGUUAGAGCAAUCGAAGCAGUGAACUUAAGCCCCAGUAAACGGCGGCCGUAACUAUAACGGUCCUAAGGUAGCGAAAUUCCUUGUCGGGUAAGUUCCGACCCGCACGAAAGGCGUAACGAUUUGGGCACUGUCUCAACAACAGACUCGGUGAAAUUGUAAUUCCGGUGAAGAUGCCGGAUACCUGCGACAGGACGGAAAGACCCCAUGGAGCUU
rnacentral:rRNA from 1 species